AUUGAACGCUGGCGGCAGGCCUAACACAUGCAAGUCGAGCGGGGUUUUCGGACCUAGCGGCGGACGGGUGAGUAAUGCGUAGGAAGCUACCCGGUAGAGGGGGAUACCAGUUGGAAACGACUGUUAAUACCGCAUAAUGUCUACGGACCAAAGUGUGGGACCUUCGGGCCACAUGCUAUCGGAUGCGCCUACGUGGGAUUAGCUAGUUGGUGAGGUAAUGGCUCACCAAGGCGACGAUCCCUAGCGGGUUUGAGAGGAUGAUCAGCCACACUGGAACUGGGCCACGGUCCAGACUCCUACGGGGGGCAGCAGUGGGGAAUAUUGGACAAUGGGCGCAAGCCUGAUCCAGCCAUGCCGCGUGUGUGAAGAAGGCCUUCGGGUUGUAAAGCACUUUCAGUAGGGAGGAAGCGUUGUGUGUUAAUAGUACACAGCGUUGACGUUACCUACAGAAGAAGCACCGGCUAACUCUGUGCUAGCCGCCGCAGUAAGAC
rnacentral:rRNA from 1 species